UAAUCAACUAAUCUCUCGGCCAUCUACAAGUAGCAAUAAUCGAGGUAGUAGUGAAGGUGAACAAAGGGAUGAAAACAAUGAAGGCACACCUUAGGGGCGAGGCUUAUGUUGAUAUCUUUGACACUAGCAUGUGUUCUAGUAAUCUUUUGU